rnacentral:rRNA from 1 species
AUUGAACGCUAGCGGCAGGCCUAACACAUGCAAGUCGAACGAGUGGCGGACGGGUGAGUAAUGUCUGGGACAGUGCCCAAUAGCGGGGGAUAAAUACUGGAAAGAGUAGCUAAUACCGCAUACUAUUGGAGCCGCCGAUAUGGGAUUAGCUAGUUGGUGGGGUAAAGGCUCACCAAGGCAAAGAUCCCUAGCUGGUUUGAGAGUAUGACGAGCCACACUGGGACUGAGACACGGUCCAGACGCCUACGGGAGGCAGCAGUGGGGAAUUUUGCACAAUGGGCGAAAGCCUGAUGCAGCCAUGCCGCGUGUAUGAAGAAGGCCUUCGGGUUGUAAAGUACUUUAAGCGGGGAGGCGUUACUCGCAGAAGAAGCACCGGCUAACUCCGUGCCAGCAGCCGCGGUAAUAC